rnacentral:rRNA from 1 species
AUUGAACGCUGGCGGCAUGCUUUACACAUGCAAGUCGAACGGUAACAGGCCUUCGGGUGCUGACGAGUGGCGAACGGGUGAGUAAUGCAUCGGAACGUACCCAGAGGUGGGGGAUAACGCAGCGAAAGCUGUGCUAAUACCGCAUGUGAUCUGAGGAUGAAAGCGGGGGACCAGGCAGCAAUGUUUGGCCUCGCGCCUUUGGAGCGGCCGAUGUCAGAUUAGGUAGUUGGUGGGGUAAAGGCCUACCAAGCCGACGAUCUGUAGCUGGUCUGAGAGGACGACCAGCCACACUGGGACUGAGACACGGCCCAGACUCCUACGGGAGGCAGCAGUGGGGAAUUUUGGACAAUGGGCGCAAGCCUGAUCCAGCAAUGCCGCGUGCGGGAAGAAGGCCUUCGGGUUGUGAACCGCUUUUGUACGGAACGAAAAGGCUCUGGCUAAUACCUGGGGCUGAUGACGGUACCGUAAGAAUAAGCACCGGCUAACUACGUG